CGGGGCUACUGCUCUGUAAUUGGCAUGGGGGCGACCUUCACCCUCGCCCGAGUACCCAUUGGAGGGCAAGUCUGGUGCCAGCAGCCGCGGUAAUUCCAGCUCCAAUAGCGUAUAUUAAACUUGUUGCAGUUAAAAAGCUCGUAGUUGAAUCUCACGUCCGCCCUAGUGUCCUUCACUUGGCGGACGCCUCGUUACUUUGAGAAAAUUAGAGUGUUUCAAGCAGGUUUCGCCUGUAUAAUUGAGCAUGGAAUAACCUUGUAUGACCCUGUCGUACCGUUGGUUGACUUUGGGUAAUGGUUAAUAGGAACGGUUGGGGGCAUUCGUACUCGACUGUCAGAGGUGAAAUUCUUAGAUUUGUCGAUGACGCACGACUGCGAAAGCAUUUGCCAAGGACGCUUCCAUUAAUCAAGAAC
rnacentral:rRNA from 1 species